UUUUUUCUGAAUUGUUGUUUUUUCAUCCUACUGUACUAUAGUUGUAACACUGCAUGUAGCCCUGUAAUGUGUUCAUUAUUUUACAUGGAUACAUACUUUCUCUUGGGCUUGAAGAACUCCAUAAAUUGAAGACCAGAUAAAUUCUAUUGUGCAGCUUGGAUGAAGAACUGUCAUUCAUCUUACAAAAAAUGAAUUCACUGCAGAUGGUGAGAAGACAGGGGAGACAAACACAACAUCAACCGACAAAAUGCCUUUCUGAUGUUCCAGGGAGUGGACUGCAGGAGUGUGUAUCUGGAGCUGCACGUAGAAGGAACUCGAUUACAAAGUGCUGACAGGAAGAAUGUAAACUACUGUGAUUCACCCGAUUCACUGUCAGUUCAUUGAUUCCCCAGAUAACCAGGGUGCAAGGAGUUGAGACCUCAUCUGAAAAAAAAAGCCCAGUGCUCAUUUUUACAACUUCUAACAAGCCUGAAAAAAAACAUGUUUUCUUACUACACAAAUACAUGCUGUGAGGCAAUAGAAUUGUAAAGUGUAAUGUGACCUCACCAGGAGAAUGUAGGGAAGUGAAAAAGCAAACACAAUACUUGAUUACUGUAUAUAAUUCCUGGUUUUUGGCACAUAGGCAGGCUGGUAAAUGAAUUGGUUUCUGGGAAAACUGGCCCUAAUGUGAGUGUGGGCGUGUUUGAAUCUGUUUGUCUCCUGCGAUGGAAACGGGUGGAUGUUAUUAGCUUAAAAAGUGCUCAAGAAGCGCAUCAAAAAUCAUUUCUUGUGGGACGUUGUCAUAUACGGUAUGCUCACGAUAAAGGAAUUUGAUUUCCUUAGUUUAGAAUAAGGGAGAUCAAGAGGAGAUUAUAUGAAGGUCUGAGGAGAAUGAGAUAGGAUCCAAUUUAUCCACAAAACAAGGGCACAGGGCUCACAAGUGGAAACUGAGAAGAUCAUUCCUUUAGGUUGGAGAAUAGCAAACAGCUCUUUAAACAAAGAUAUGUGGGUAGUCUGAAGCCCCAAACCCCUUCAAGAAUCAACUGGUUGAUAUUUUCUGCAUCUAGC
rnacentral:lncRNA from 1 species